UAAUAGGUUGCACAUGUUGUUAACUGAACCUCUGUUCCUACGCAGUCAACAGCGCCAAGGCGCCCUGACUUUCAGCGUGUCUCCCCAGUUCCUGGCUUUGCUUUCAGGCUCUCUGCUCUGAAGCACUCUCACAUGAAACCAGGAGGAUCUGUAGGGCAGUACUGUGGAAAAUGUGAAACAUCAGGCAUAUGAUGGAUUUUUCAAAUCUGGACUCUAAUCGAAACUUGGCUUGUUUGCCGUCUGGCUGAUAAGGAUGAAUGAGAGAUGAAGACUUUGCUUUGCUGUCUCUAAUGGCAGAAUCUGAGCAUUGAUCUUAAAAGGGACAUUUCAGAUGAAAGAGCAGAACGCAGAGCCCAGCAUGGAGUAGAGCCUCAGCAACAGGCGGACAGACAGACAGACUUCAGAAGGCCCUUCUGUCCCCUGAUGUUCUCCACAAUGAACUCGGCUGCUGGAGGCAGAGUGCCCAAAGUGGGAAGUGGGAAGAGAAGGCAGACCGGAUUGUUUAUGUGACUGAACAUAUUUCAAUCUCUUCUUGAUGACUCAGCAUCAUCACCGUCAACGUGGAUAAUUUUACUGGCCGACAGAGAAGCAAUGACGUCAGAGUCUGAUCCACAUCAACGUCCACUGUAAUUGACCAAGGUGUGUUGCCGUGAAGUCUGAGAGAGCACUGCCUAUAUAAAGUAGGUAGCUGUGUCUAUGGAGGAGAAACGGAGCCAAGAAGAUGUGAAGGAGAAAGUGAUAGGAUGAAAUUUUGCAGCCAAAUAUCUAUCUUUUAGACAUGAAGAGAUAUGCUUCUUUUAUGCCUGCCUGAUUUCUGGAUAUGGAAGACCACCCUUCUGUCUGAAUGACAGCAGUCAUUUUAUAUCCAGGCCAAACAUUCAAGAAGCCUGUGAAAACAAACAUGCCCAGUAUAGUCACAACAGUGUGCGGGGAUUUGUAUGCACAGCAAGGAGGGCCCAGGUCUACCAGAGAGCACUGCUGCUUGGAUAAUGCACAUUGUUCAAGCUCAUCUAAGAAGAUGUCCUUGGAAAGCAUGUAAACUCACUUGCGCCAGCUUAUGGAAAGCCUAACUUCUGUAAGGCAGGCCCUCAAGUGUGAAGGUUUUGAGGGUGCAUGGCUGGUCACCUGGACUCAAUUUGCUUUCAGCAAAAGUUUGAUUGACACUUACUGCCAAGAUGCAUACGUUUGUUUUCUAGAUUAGCAGUCCAGAGUCACCUCACCUGGCAAUGCCAAAUGAAGCUGCAGAUAUGAACAAGUGGACACAGAAAAGGCUUUGCUCAAUCCCAUGGUGACUAGACCUUCAUCCUAUCGCUAGUUUUCAAGAGAGAGCUGAGGCUGAACUGCCUUGAGCAGUCCACUUUGGAAAACUCAUUUUUAUCUACCCUAAAUGUCUAUUGUAUGUAGAUAGCUUCCCCAACAUUUCCAAAUCACACUAAAAUCAUCGCAGGCACCUCACUGACCGGCUGCUGGGUCACUGUGAGGCCGUACACCCAGUGCUGGGAUUGGUCACAACUUUCUGAGAGGCCAAGAAUCACAGCCCUCCCAGGACUGAGCAGUCUUUUUAGUGUUGCUCUCCUAGACACCAACAUAUCCACAUCUAUAAACAUGCUUGAAAUAUGUAUUAUAUAUUCUAUUCCAUAUGGACCACCGAGUUAGUCAUGAUAAUACUAAUAGCUCAUAUUUCUUGGCUCCUGACUCUGCCUCAGGCGUUACCUCAAGGGCUGGUUCAUGCGUAUGUCAUUAGUAGAGCUGUAAAUGGUCCCAUGUUCAGAAGAGCCCUGUACUUGGGGUUUAAUAGUCUGUGUUCCGACAAGAUUCUUUAUAAUUUUAUCUUUGAAUUUGCAUUUUGUAAGUGACAUCCAAUGAGACAAAAUAGUUUGCACCAGGGUCUUAGAGAAUCUUUCUGCCUCCCACGUUCUCGCUUCCUCCCCAUCAGCAGGUUCUCACCCACCUACUCUCUUGCUCCCUGGUGCCAGAACACUGUCCCACCACCCCACCCCUACACAGUAACCACUGAGGCCCUCCACCACCCCCCCACCCCAUCACAAGGAGAUACAAGUGCAUGUACUUUGUGUCUUCAGCCAGGGCAGCAACCAUCCCCACUGCCUCAUGAAGCCCCAUGGGCACUCAUCAGGUGACUCUGCUGGGGCAAGUUUCUUGCCCACCCCUGACCCAAGUACUAGUUGAGCUCUUUGAAGAGGUUUCAUUCCCUUGGAGAAUCACCUGUUUGCUGUGGGUUGACCAGAAGACCCAUGAGAAGGGACGGUUCCUGGUCCAAUUUCCUCCCUUCCAGCUGACAGCUGGCAGUUGCUGGGCUGUGCAUGGGUGCCAAGUUACAGAAAGGGGUCCUCAGGCAUCUGUGAGAGCCUGUGGUUACCCAGCAUGCAUCUAUAACCACACAACUAUCACUGAGUGAGGCCAGUCAUGUACAUGUGCUGCUCUAAGUCCUUCAUGUGAAUUAACUCACCACCUUACAACCAGUGAGGAAAGUGAAAGUGAAAGUCUCUCAGUCAUGUACAACUCUUUGCAACCCCAUGGACUAUACUGUCCAUGGAAUUCUCCAGGCCAGAAUACUGGAGUGGUUAGCUGUACCCUUCUCCAGGGGAUCUUCUCAAACCAGGGAUCUAAGCCAGGUCUCCCGCAUUGCAGGUGGAUUCUUUACCAGCUGAGCUACUAAGGAAGUUCACAGAGAGUAAUUUGCCCAAGCUAAUGCUCAAAACCACAGGAGAAAGAAAAAAUGUUUAUAUUUUAGUGUCUUUAGUGACACAUUUUUUCCUGCUUUUUGAACAAGGAGUCCUGCAUUUUCAUUUUGCAUUGAGCCCUGUAAAUUGUGUAGCCAACCCUGUUCCUUUUAAUGUGACUUGUGGUCACAAAGCCACCAGCAAUGGAGGUGAUAUUGAAACCCAUGUAGAUCUCCUUGGAACCUGUUAACAACUCUUGCUAUAUCACUGUCAAGUUAUGGGCCGGUGGGUUGUACAAUGGUCCCCUCUGUUGUCUUAACCCUGACUCUUUGCACAGCUGAAAACGUUUUCUCCUCUGUAUGAACCAUAAAAUCUGUUCACAUAUCCCUGGAAAAUAGAAGUGAUAGAAGUGAGCAUUGGCAAGGUGGGAAAAGAAAUAAGACCGCAUUGAAGCCGUAAGAAUAGAAGGGAGAAUAAUCAAAAAGGCACCAUCAUGCACAGAAAGCAAGAGCGAAAGCUUCUUGGAAGUUGUGGGUCUUUCCAAUUGCACCCGAGUGCCUUGCCAACUGUCAGCAGCGCUGCCUGAGCAGAUGGGCAGGUGCAGAACCGUGAUGGUGAGGGACAUCAGGACAGCUCUCUGCCAGCCACAUUUCUCUCUCAAGGUGUCCUAGUCAUCUGUUAAAUGGCUGAGCACUUUUAUUAAGCAUUUUAGAGAUUUUCUAAUCUAUUCAAAGUGUUUAGAUUUUACAUUUCUGAACAGAUGGUGAAAAGGGAGUGCAUGUGUAUGUUGUUGGAAAUGUGUGAGGAGGCAGGAGGUGGAUGAUGAAGCAGAGGUAAUUUUAAGAUAUUGAGAGCAAGAUCGAGAGGUGCAGCAAUGGAUGACCAGCUUUUCUUGCCCACCUCUUGCUUCAUUUAUGCUUUAGCUGUGUUCCGUCUUUCAACUCUGUGGAAGCCAUACACAACAUAUAAAACAUUAAGCUUUAAAUGUGGAUUCAUGAAGAUGGCAGUCCUCACUUUGGAGAACUGCUGUUGGAGGCAGGGAUCCUCUUAAUUCUGGGUACUUGGCUUUCUGCAUCCUUCAUUGUUGAAGCUUGGGAUAGAAGGAAGGACAUGAGACAGGAAGAAGAACUUUCUCAUGGCAAGAGGAAGAGGUUGCUUUGGGGAAGAUUUUGUGAGGUCAGAGAAAACUAAGCAGAUGGGUAGCACUGCUUAGUUGGAAAGAAUCAAUUAAGCAUGCUGUGGGCUUCUGUUUAACAAGUGCUUAACAAAAUUCACCUGUUUAUAAUCAAAUCUCGGCAAACUGAAAAUAGAAGAAAACUUACUCAAUCUGAUGAAAGGAUCUACAAAUUAAUCUAGAAGUAACAUAGUACUUGAGCAUGAUAAACUGAAAGCUUCCUUCUGAGAUGCAGAUCAAGGCAGGAAUGCCUAUCGUUAUUAUUUCUGUUCAAAACUGGACUAGAGAGCUUAGUCAAUUUCUAAAAAAAUAAUAGGCAUGUGUAUCAGAAAGGAAGAUUUUUAUUUUUUAUUAAAAAAAUCUUUAUUUUUCAGAUGACAUCGAUGUUUACAUAGAAAAUCCUAAAGUAUCUAUGAAACACCUACUAUAAUCAAUAGGUGAAUUUAGCAGGUUGCAGGAUGUAAAACCAAAAUACAAAUACACUACCAUGUGUAACAUAGACGGCUAGUGGGAACCUGCUGCAUGGCUCAAGGAGCCUGGCUCAGUGCUGUGAUGACCGAGACGGACGGGAAGGCGGUAGGAGGGUGAGAGGGUGGCUCAAGAGCCACCUCUGGAUAUAUGAAUACAUAUAGCUCAUUCACUUUCUUGUACAGUAGGAACUAAUGCAGCAUUGUAAAGCAAUUAGGACAGAAUUUUAAAAAAAUAAAAUAAUCCUUUGUUUGUCUAUAUAAUGUAGCAAAUAAAUGGAACGUGAAAUAGAAAAAAAUUCCCUUUACAAUAAUAUCCCAAAAAUUACUUAUGUAAAACUUUAACAAAAGACAUUUUAUACAUUUAUGUCAAUAAAUAUUUAUAAAAUAUUGCUACAGAAAUUAAAGAAGAGCUAAAUAGAUAAAGAGAUAUUGAUUCACAAAUAGGCCUCCCUACACACAUGGCAAGGAGAGAAUGAAGGAAGGGGCACAUCACUCCAGACUGGUAGGUGGCAAGUUUAAUAAGCAAGGGAACUUCACUUACACAGCCAUUAGAUGAGUCGAUCUCCCCACCACCCAGCAGAAUCUUAAAAGUUCGUAUGGAGGCCUUACCGGGCUUCAGUCAUGUGUACCAUUGUGCUUGCAUGGUCAGUCACUCGGGCAUGUCUGACUCUUUGUGACUGCAUGGACUGUAGAGCCUGCCAGGCUCCUCUCUCCAUGGAGUUUCCCAGGCAGGACUACUGGAGUGGGGCUGCCAUUGCCUUCCCCAGGGAUCUUACUGACCCAGGGAUCAAACCCUCAUCUCCUACAUCUGCUGUAUUAGCAGGCAGAUUCAUUACCACUGAGCCACCAAGAAAGUCCCAUGUGUACCAUCAGACAGUCUUAAUAACAUUUUACACUCUCAAGACUGCAUCCUUGAAAAUGGCUCCCAAGAUAGAAAUGGUGGGCAGAGUGGAUAUUCCAAGGACAGAGGAGGAGGCAAAGAGAUUCUGAUUGCCAAGGUUCAUCUCAAGGAUCAACCCACAGUCACGUUUUCUUAAUGACCUUCUCCAAUGAGAGAUUUAAUGUUUUCAUAGACUGAAGGACCCAAUAAUUUAAGAUCGAUUUUUAUCUUAUUCUAUAGAUUAGAUGCAAUUCAUAUAAAAAUUCUAUAAGGCUUUUUGUGAAAAUUUAAAUGUUCUUUCUAAAAUCUGAGCAAAAGACCUAGCAUAGCCAAAACAAUUGAAGUUAAAAAAAAAAAAGAGCAAAACUGAAGAACUCUCAUCGUCUGAUUUCCAGACUUACUAUAAGGUCUUCAAAAUUCUGAUACUGGUGGAAGAACUGUCCAACAGAUUUAUAAAACAAAAUGAAGAGUUUAGAGUUAGGCCUGCAUGUAUAUGAUCAACUGAUUUUUAUAAAACUGUCAAAGCAAGUCUAUGAGAAAAGUUAAAUUUUUAAAAAUGAAUAAUGCUGGGAAAACUGGAUAAAUGUAUGGGGGAAAAUGAACUUUUACCCCUAAAUCAUACCACUUCCCAAAAUUAUUUUAAACUGAGUCAUAGACUUUAUAAAAAGGUGAAGCUAUAAAGCUUUUAUAAGAAAAUGUUGGAGAAUAUCUUCAUGAUUUUAAGUGCUGAGAAAAGAUUUACUAGAGAGACUGAAAAAUUACUAGAUAUAAAAUAAAAAAUUGAUAAAUUAACACUCCUACUCACUGAAAACACAUUUAUAAAAUAAAAAGAUAAGCCAGAGACUGGGAGAAGGUGUUUGUAAUAUAUAUAGCUAACAAAGGCCUUGUAUCCCAAACGUAUAAAGAACUAUGAAUCAAUAACAAAACAACAAAAAUUCAAUAUAAAAUGGGUAAAUGACUUUAACAAACACCUCACUAAAGAAGAUAAUCAGAUGACCAAUAAGCACAUGGAACACUGUCAACAUCACUAAUCAGGGAAAUAUAAACAACAACUGCAGUAUGGUAUUGUGAAUGUAUUGUUAGCUGUUCUUGUGAGCAUGAUGAAUGAAUGCAAGCAUGCUAAGUCACUUCAGUCAUGUCCAACUCUUGGAGACCCCAUGGACUUUAGCCCACCAGGCUCCUCUGUCCAUGAGAUUUCCCAGGCAAUAAUCCUGGGAUGGGUUGCCAUUUCCUUCUCCGGGGAAUCUUCCCAACCCGGGGAUCAAACCCGGUCUCCUGCAUCUCCUGCAUUGCAGGUGGAUUCUUUACCCACCUGGGAAACCCCUCCCUUCCCCCUGCCUUUCCAUAAUUAAAACCUCAAAUUCUCAUACUUUUCUGGAGGAAGGGAAUUGAUCAUUUUAAAUUACUUAUAAAUAUGUAGUUUAGAGGAAUAGAAUGUCAUGCCUGGUUUCAAAAAUAUUUUCAAGAGGCUUUUACUUUUUUUGCCUUUGUAACAGAGAAUGUGUGAGCUCCUUUACUUUUGACUCACUUUCUAGAAGUUCUGCUCUCUUCUUAGUCCUUGGAUUGCAUUUUAACUUCUGUCUGAAGUCAACAACGUCUCCUUAAAAACAAGUCAAGUGUCUUCCAUGGUUGUUGAGUUGGCAGGGGGGACUGAAAGCCAGAGUAGUUCUCUAAAAAAUGAAGCAGGUCCAGAGUUUGCUGGUUGGAGUCCUUCUAUGGAAAUUCUGGCUCCAUUCUCUCUACAUGUGUUGGAGGACAAUUUAUAGCAGUCAGUAAGGCAGCCAGGAAAAGAUUUAGGUUUUCUCUCUCCCAUGCACAUAGCAUGAUUACUGGGAUUAACUGAAGACUAAUUUUUUUUCCAUUUGGCCAAACUUGAACAUGUGAGAAAAUCAAACAAAUGAAAAAGAAAAAAAAAUCAGUGACCAAGUUAGCAAAGAAAAACAACCUUCAGGUGACAUGUUAGCAGGCUGCUCCACUCCAGAUGCCAGAUGGAGGGACCAACCAGGUGGCCUCCACCAGGCUGUUCCUAAACAUGGAAUGAUCUAAAGAGUGAGGUUUGGGUCUUGGGGUCUGACUUUCUUUAAGCUACAGUGGAGUCGGAGUUGGAGUAGGGCUGGAAGGUAGCUUUUUGUUCUUUACUAUGUGCCUAUUACGAUCCCACUUUGGAAUCAGUGUUCCAUACUGAACCAGUGUAGAAUGUACCAGCAGAGUCGGCCCCAAGGUGCACCUCUUUUCAUACAACCAACAAGUCCUUUUGGAUGUUGACCAAAAGUUCAUAUGACUUAUUUUGUAACGUAUCACUGUCCUUUUCCAUUGGGCUAAAGAGAGAAAUGGUUCUCUCUGAAAGUAUAUUCAUCUGAAUCAAAUAAAAUGGCCUUUAUCCAGAGGCCAUUGUCUCAUAAGCUGAACCAUCUGGCACAAUGCUGAAACACCAGAAGUAGAGUUUUCACUACCUAAAAAUUCCUAUCAUGUAGUAUUUGUACUGAACUUCACGAGAUGAGUCAUGGGCUACACCCUUGCCCCCUUGUGCAACAUGAGCUGAUUUACUUGUGUUGUAAACAUAAUUCUCUUUACUUUUAUGUUUCAUUCGUUUGGAAGACGAGACAAGGACGAGGAAAAGAGCAGAUUGAAGAAGACAGGUAGGCAUUAUCUGCCAGGAUAUAAGCUUCAUGAAGGCAAAGACUUGGCCUGUUUUGUUCACUGCUGAAAUCCUAGGAUCUAGAAUAGUCCUAGGCUUGGAGAAGGUGCCAAGUAAAUACUUGCUAAUUAAUGCGAGCAAUGGAAAGCAUUGGCUUUUACAGACCAUCUGCUAAGGAAUAGUAGGAAAAAGAAGAAGAGAAGAGAGGGCAAAGACAGAAGAGAUCUCCUAGAGCACAUUUGUCCAAGAACAGUUUAAGUAGCAUCAAAAAAUUCGACAUACUUUGAGAGCUCUUGAGAACAUCAUUGUUUUACCCGUUAAAUAAUGAUGAUGAUAGGAUGGCUGUUUAUCACGAUAAACUUAAAUCAUCAAGACAUCAGAAUAAAUAGAAAUUAAAACACAUCCAUAUCCUCCUUUCAAGGCAGAGGAAAAACACAAAAUACCUGAAAAAUAUUUUUCAAAAAAAUGAUUGCAAUUGUUUUAAAUUGUUAAAACUCAGGUUUUCUAAAUUUUACAUUUCCACAUAUAUAGAAUACAACUUAGCCUAAUGACAACAGAUUCGCAAAGUUGAUAGAUAAGUUGCUAUAUUAGCAAAGGCACACAGCACACGUGUGCCUCUGCUCCAUCCCCUUCUUACAGCUAGAAGGAUCGCAUCCUCUGACUCCCACAUUCCCCUGGGAUUUUGCAGAUGCAGCUCAAGGUAAUGUGGCCGUUCCUGAGAGAGGGGGCGACCCCAUGGGACUGAAGCUUUCUCUGAACUUCACUUGUAUAGAGCAGUGAUUCUUUUUUAAGCAAUGUGGGAAAUCAUGCCGCUUCGAAAGCCAAGCACCAAAAGUAGGGAAAUCUACCCAGAAUUAAGCCACAGGUUUGGCUGGUUUUAUGUUUGCUCUCAGCUUGGCUUUCUCUAAGAAAUGCUAAGAUUUUUUAAAGGAAUUUUGAAAGGAAAAGUUUAAGGUUAAAAAAAAAAAAGCCAACCCAUGAAUGAUUUUCCAACCUCUGGAAAAAGUAACCAGAAAUCAGAACCUAAGAAAAAUCCAAGAUCCUUCACAGAACACAGAGAGGCGAGCACCCUAUCUGUGUAUCCUUGGCCUAUAAUAAGCCUCUCUGUUAACGCUCUUUGGGAAGGUCAACCAACAGCUUGGUGUUUCACAAUCAUGGGGUAAAAUGAAGGGAAAAAAACCUGUAUUAAAAAGAAAGUUCAUGAAUAGCAAGUUUAUAUGAAUUGUCCCUAUGUAUAUUUACUUACAACCUAAAAAUAUCCUUUGGGAAAUCUUAGAAAUAAAGUGUUUAUUUAAUUGUCUGAAACUGGAAUAAAAGAAUGGGUGAGCUGGAGGACUCCUGUGGAUGUGUGGUCCAGCCACUCUCGGCAUCAGCAUUUCUAUGAUGGUG